rnacentral:rRNA from 1 species
AGGACUAACGCUGGCGGCGUGCCUAACACAUGCAAGUCGAACGGGGUAGCAAUACCCAGUGGCAGACGGGUGAGUAACACGUGGUCAACCUACCUCUGUGUGGGGGAUAACUAGCCGAAAGGUUAGCUAAUACCGCAUACGAUCGUUUUGAGGCAUCUCGAGACGAUGAAAGGAGCAAUCCGCACGGAGAGGGGACUGCGUCCCAUUAGUUAGUUGGUGGGGUAACGGCCUACCAAGACUCCGAUGGGUAGCUGGCUUGAGAGAGCGACCAGCCACACUGGAACUGAGAAACGGUCCAGACUCCUACGGGAGGCAGCAGUGAGGAAUUUUCCGCAAUGGGCGAAAGCCUGACGGAGCGACGCCGCGUGUGGGAUGAAGGCCUUCGGGUCGUAAACCACUGUCGAAGGGGACGAUAAUGACGGUACCCUUGGAGGAAGCCCCGGCUAACUACGUGCCAGCAGCCGC